AUUUCCUUAGAAUCUCUUAAAAUUUCAAAACCUUCAGAUGAUUGAAGAUCCACCGCAAGUGCAAAAUUGUAGGUGGAAAGUGUAUUUCUCGUGAAGUGGCGGAGUCUUGUUACUUGAUUUAAGGUUGAUGGCGCUAAAAAUUUCUUGUAGAUUUGAUCAAGAUACUUAAAUGAGCUUACCUUUCUUCAAAUCGAGAAUGGUUUAUGGAUGAUGCUGCUUCCGAGCUCCAUCAAGAAACAGGACCAUCUGAAGCCAACCUUUUCUCCGGAAGAUGUAUAGUAGACAACAAGCGUCAAGCAAGUCAAGCCAACAACACAACUUCAUAAGAUUCUAAAGUUUAGAUUGUCGCAAGAAGCAGACACUGGAGAUUCUACAGCCAAGCAGACGAAUAUUGUCAAUAACAAGAAUUCAAACCUGAAAGUCUGAUCUUUUGUAGUUUGUGGUAUAUUUUAGCAAGUUUUAGUAGCAGGUGAUUUCUUGCCAGGUAGCGCAGAUCGGCGCGUGCUACUUCUGGACUGUGGCCAGCAUAAUUCUUUGGUUGAUUUGUUCCCUCAAACCAUAACUGUAUAUGGGGAUACGCAAUCGGAGGAACCAUACCUUUGUCCUCAAAAGCGAA